GGGCCCGCACAAGCGGAGGAACAUGUGGUUUAAUUCGAUGAUACGCGAGGAACCUUACCCGGGUUUGAACGUAGGGAGACAGGGGUGGAAACAUCCUUUUCAGCAAUGACUGCCUACGAGGUGCUGCAUGGUUGUCGUCAGCUCGUGCCGUGAGGUGUCGGCUUAAGUGCCAUAACGAGCGCAACCCUUAUUUCCAGUUACUAACAGGUGAUGCUGAGGACUCUGGAGAGACUGCCAGCGUAAGCUGUGAGGAAGGUGGGGAUGACGUCAAAUCAGCACGGCCCUUACAUCCGGGGCGACACACGUGUUACAAUGGUAAGGACAAAGGGCAGCUACCGGGCGACCGGAUGCGAAUCUCUAAACCUUAUCUCAGUUCGGAUCGGAGUCUGCAACUCGACUCCGUGAAGCUGGAUUCGCUAGUAAUCGCGCAUCAGCCAUGGCGCGGUGAAUACGUUCCCGGGCCUU
rnacentral:rRNA from 1 species